CAGAGCAGACACAGCAGUAGAAGCUGCUACAACAACUGACCCAAGCACAAGUCAGUUGUUGUAGCAGCUUCUACUGCUGUGUCUGUUCUGAU
rnacentral:pre_miRNA from 1 species